UACGAAGGGUGCAAGCGUUGUUCGGAUUUAUUGGGCGUAAAGCGCGCGCAGGCGGAUAAGCAAGUCAGAUGUGAAAUCUCGGGGCUCAACCCCGAAACUGCGUCUGAAACUGCUAAUCUAGAAUCUUGGAGAGGGAAGGGGAAUUUCUCAUGUAGGGGUAAAAUCCGUAGAGAUGAGAAGGAACAUCAGAGGCGAAGGCGCCUUCCUGGACAAGUAUUGACGCUGAGGCGCGAAAGCGUGGGGAGCAAACAGG
rnacentral:rRNA from 1 species